AGUGAACGCUGGCGGUAGGCCUAACACAUGCAAGUCGAACGGCAGCACAGUAAGAGCUUGCUCUUACGGGUGGCGAGUGGCGGACGGGUGAGGAAUACAUCGGAAUCUACUUUUUCGUGGGGGAUAACGUAGGGAAACUUACGCUAAUACCGCAUACGACCUACGGGUGAAAGCAGGGGAUCUUCGGACCUUGCGCGAUUGAAUGAGCCGAUGUCGGAUUAGCUAGUUGGCGGGGUAAAGGCCCACCAAGGCGACGAUCCGUAGCUGGUCUGAGAGGAUGAUCAGCCACACUGGAACUGAGACACGGUCCGGACUCCUACGGGAGGCAGCAGUGGGGAAUAUUGGACAAUGGGCGCAAGCCUGAUCCAGCCAUACCGCGUGGGUGAAGAAGGCCUUCGGGUUGUAAAGCCCUUUUGUUGGGGAAGAAAAGCAGCAGGUUAAUACCCCGCUGUUCUGACGGUACCCAAAGAAUAAGCACCGGCUAACUUCGUG
rnacentral:rRNA from 1 species